rnacentral:tRNA from 1 species
GGGUUGCUAACUCAAUGGUAGAGUACUCGGCUUUUAAGUGCGACUACCGACUAGUUCCGGGUUCGAGUCCCGGGCAACCCA